UGGGUUUUCUCAGUUCCAGUUGAGUGAUUAUAUGUGUGUUACUGCCUUAGCCUGUGCUGUUGUGUGCGUCCAUUAAAAUUUAGGGCUGAGGUUCACAGCAGAUUUAUACCCGGAUUUGUUCAAAAUUUUGUAGAUUCAUUUUAAAACAUUAUAACCACAGCGUGGGUGAAUGAAAAGCAUGGAGCAGCUUUUUAUUCUUGUGCUAAUGGCAGCGGGAACUCAUGCUCUGGUUCCAGUUGAUGAGACUACUUGUGACCUCAGGACGAACACAUGUCCAUGCUCUCCUCUUCUUCAAGGAACUGUGUAUAUCCAAGUGAUGACUGAUGCUAGUGGCCGUGACGUGACAUGUUUGAAGGUGCUUCCCCUGGGAAACAUAACUGUGUUCAGUAUAAAGAAAGGAAAACCAACGACAGACAACAGACUAACGUUUAUAAUCAAGAACGGGACACUCAAGAUCACAAACCUGAGGAAGAAUGAUUCAGGUCAAUACAGUGUUGAGGUCUUUAAGUCAAAUGGAAAAAUGGAGAAAAACAUUUGUUUCACCCUGGAUGUUAAAGACAAUGGUAAAGUUGAAGGCAAGGCACUCUGGAACUUCAAAGGUAACUUACUCAUGGUUCUCUAGUUUUGUUAUUGUUCUAAAGUUAAUCAGAUAUGUAAGCAUGUGAGAGUAGAACUGCAAAAUAAGUACACAUCACUUGUGCAACUAAUAAU